GCGGAGGAAAAGAAACUAACAAGGAUUCCCCUAGUAACUGCGAGUGAACCGGGAAAAGCUCAAAUUUAAAAUCUGGCAGCCUUGGCUGUCCGAGUUGUAAUCUGGAGAAGCGUCUUCCGCGCUGGACCGUGUACAAGUCUCCUGGAACGGAGCGUCAUAGAGGGUGAGAAUCCCGUCUUUGACACGGACUACCAGUGCUCUGUGAUGCGCUCUCAAAGAGUCGAGUUGUUUGGGAAUGCAGCUCAAAAUGGGUGGUAAACUCCAUCUAAAGCUAAAUAUUGGCGAGAGACCGAUAGCGAACAAGUACCGUGAGGGAAAGAUGAAAAGCACUUUGGAAAGAGAGUUAAACAGUACGUGAAAUUGCUGAAAGGGAAACGCUUGAAGUCAGUCGCGUUUGCUAGGACUCAGCCUUGCCUCGGCUUGGUGCAUUUCCUAGUAGACGGGCCAGCAUCACUUUUGGCUGCGGGAAAAAGGUUAGAGGAAUGUGGCACCCUCGGGUGUGUUAUAGCCUCUAGCUGUAUACCGUGGCUGGGAGUGAGGAACUCAGCACGCCUUCUGGCGGGGCUUCGGCCACCUUCGUGCUUAGGAUGCUGGCGUAAUGGCUUUAAAC
rnacentral:rRNA from 1 species